rnacentral:rRNA from 1 species
AAACUCAAAGGAAUUGACGGGGACCCGCACAAGCGGUGGAGCAUGUGGUUUAAUUCGAAGCAACGCGAAGAACCUUACCAAAUCUUGACAUCCUUUGACAACUCUAGAGAUAGAGCCUUCCCCUUCGGGGGACAAAGUGACAGGUGGUGCAUGGUUGUCGUCAGCUCGUGUCGUGAGAUGUUGGGUUAAGUCCCGCAACGAGCGCAACCCUUAAGCUUAGUUGCCAUCAUUAAGUUGGGCACUCUAAGUUGACUGCCGGUGACAAACCGGAGGAAGGUGGGGAUGACGUCAAAUCAUCAUGCCCCUUAUGAUUUGGGCUACACACGUGCUACAAUGGACAAUACAAAGGGCAGCGAAACCGCGAGGUCAAGCAAAUCCCAUAAAGUUGUUCUCAGUUCGGAUUGUAGUCUGCAACUCGACUACAUGAAGCUGGAAUCGCUAGUAAUCGUAGAUCAGCAUGCUACGGUGAAUACGUUCCCGGGUCUUGUACACACCGCCCGUCACACCACGAGAGUUUGUAACACCCGAAGCCGGUGGAGUAACCAUUUGGAGCUAGCCGUCGAAGGUGGGACAAAUGAUUGGGGUGAAGUCGUAACAAGGUAGCCGUAUCGGAAGGUGCGGCUGGAUCACCUCCUUUCUAAGGA